GCUUUACUGUAGCCUGGUAUUGGGUUCGGGCUUUGCUUGCGCAGGAUAGGUGGGAGACUAUGAGACUUUCCUUGUGGGGAAAGUGGAGUCAAUGGUGAGAUACCACUCUAGCAAGGCUAGAAUUCUAACCCUGACCCAUUAUCUGGGGAGGGAACAGUAUCAGGUGGGCAGUUUGACUGGGGCGGUCGCCUCCUAAAUGGUAACGGAGGCGCACAAAGGUUCCCUCAGGCUGGUUGGAAAUCAGCCGGAGAGUGUAAAGGCAUAAGGGAGCUUGACUGCAAGAGCUACAACUCGAGCAGGGUGGAAACACGGUCUUAGUGAUCCGACGGCACUGCGUGGAAGGGCCGUCGCUCAACGGAUAAAAGUUA
rnacentral:rRNA from 4 species